rnacentral:misc_RNA from 1 species
AAUGCGAAAAUAUAAUACAAAAUGCUACCGAGUUUAAACAAUACCGUGAGGAAGGCAGUUCAGCGCAAGCAGACAGCAGUACUUGCACAGAAAUGGCAAAAUUGUACGGCGAGUACUUACUACACGCUUAAUCGGAUUCAGUUACUAUGUAUUGGCUUGUGGCCGUAUCAGGCAUCUACUUGCAGAUAUAUUUUAAUAACAUUCUUAUCCAUCACACUUGUAUCCAGUGUAGUAGUACAGCUUAACGUUUUUAUCACAACGAAAUACAGUUUGGAACUUCUUCUGCAGAUACUUACCUAUAGCAUUCCAUGGCUGAUAUAUACAUUAAAGUAUAACAUUCAUUGCUUAAAUAUAAAAAAGGUGGAAGUACUCCUAGAACGAAUACAGCACGACUGGAGUAUAUUAACCAAUGCACGAGAGAUUGAAAUAAUAAAAAAAUACUCGGCUAUUGGGAAAUUUAUUACAUUACUUGUGAUAUUGUUUAUCCAUUUAUCUGCGUUCGGUUUCGUUCUAAUAUACCUUGUAUCAACUUUUCUUUCGGAUACUGCAGUAGAUGUAAAUGAAUCUAAUAUACGAAAUCUUCCGGGAUUAACGGAAUACUUUAUAGAUCAACAGAAGUAUUUCUUUCUGAUUUUGUUUCACAUAUCUUUCUUUGUUUGGUGUGGUCUAGCGGUAGUGGCAGCUACCGAAUCAUUUUAUAUGUCAUUAAUUCAACAUGCGUGUGGACUGUUUCAAAUAGCGAGCUAUCGUAUAGAGCAAGCUUUGCACAAAGACUUAGUACGAAAUGUUACAUCUAUUGUCGAAAGAAAUACGAUAAUAAAUCGCAAAUUAAUCAGUGGAAUAAAUAUGCAUAAAAGAGCAAUCGAGUUUGUCGAAAUGUCAAAGGCAAGUUACAAAUGGACAUAUGUUAUGUUAGGACCAUUAGGAGUAGUCUCACUAAGCAUUAAUCUUUAUCGCAUAUUGCAAAAGGAUACUAAUCGCUUGUGUGUCAUAGCUCUCACUACUGAUAACAAUCAAAGAUUAUCGCGAACUGAUCUCCAGCUUUGUGUUCGUCCUUGGUCACUCUUGGUACAUGUUUUUCGUUAACUAUGUAGGGCAGGAAGUGGUCGAUCACAGCGGGGAUGUGUUUCACAGAAUAUACAACGUACAAUGGUACACAGCUCCGUUGAAAGCGCAAAAGUUAUUACUGUAUCUGAUGCAAAGGACCAUGCGACAUUGCACAAUCGUCAU